rnacentral:rRNA from 1 species
UGGGGAAUAUUGCACAAUGGGCGCAAGCCUGAUGCAGCAACGCCGCGUGAGGGACGACGGCCUUCGGGUUGUAAACCUCUUUUAGUAGGGAAGAAGCGAAAGUGACGGUACCUGCAGAAAAAGCACCGGCUAACUACGUGCCAGCAGCCGCGGUAAUACGUAGGGUGCGAGCGUUGUCCGGAAUUAUUGGGCGUAAAGAGCUCGUAGGCGGUCUGUCGCGUCUGCUGUGAAAACCCGAGGCUCAACCUCGGGCCUGCAGUGGGUACGGGCAGACUAGAGUGCGGUAGGGGAGAAUGGAAUUCCUGGUGUAGCGGUGGAAUGCGCAGAUAUCAGGAGGAACACCGAUGGCGAAGGCAGUUCUCUGGGCCGUAACUGACGCUGAGGAGCGAAAGCGUGGGGAGCGAACAGGAUUAGAUACCCUGGGUAGUCCACGCCGUAAACGUUGGGCGCUAGAUGUGGGGACCAUUCCACGGUUUCCGUGUCGCAGCUAACGCAUUAAGCGCCCGCCUGGGGAGUACGGCCGCAA